UACGUAGGGGGCGAGCGUUGUCCGGAUUUAUUGGGCGUAAAGAGCUCGUAGGCGGCUUGGCAAGUCGGGUGUGAAACCUCCAGGCUCAACCUGGAGACGCCACUCGAUACUGCUAUGGCUAGAGUCCGGUAGGGGACCACGGAAUUCCUGGUGUAGCGGUGAAAUGCGUAGAUAUCGAGAGGAACACCAGUGGCGAAGGCGAGUCUCUGGACAUUUCCUGACGCUGAGGCACGAAAGCCAGGGGAGCAAACGGG
rnacentral:rRNA from 1 species